UCAGUAAACCAGUCAUGAUUCACUCGAGUAUACAUGACUGUCUUUGGAUAACUGUGGUAAUCCUAGAGCUAAUACAUGCAACCAAGUCCCGACCAGUCUGUCUGGGAAGGACGCUUUUAUUAGAUCAAGACCAAUCGCCCGGCUCGUUCGGGCGUUGCCUUGGUGACUCUAGGUAACACAUCAGAUCGCAUGGCCUCGCGCCGGCGACUUAUCCUUCAAAUGCCUGACUUAUCAACUGUCGAUGGUAGACUCUAUGUCUACCAUGGUUGUAACGGGUAACGGGGAAUCAGGGUUCGAUUCCGGAGAGGGAGCCUGAGAAACGGCUACCACAUCCAAGGAAGGCAGCAGGCACGCAAAUUACCCACUCCCGGAACGGGGAGGUAGUGACAAAAAAUAACGAUACGGGACUCAUUUGAGGCCCCGUAAUCGGAAUGAGUACACUUUAAAUCCUUUAACAAGGAUCCAUUGAAGGGCAAGUCUGGUGCCAGCAGCCGCGGUAAUUCCAGCUUCAAUAGCGUAUAUUAAAGUUGUUGCGGUUAAAAAGCUCGUAGUUGGUUCUGCGUGCUACGCUGUCGGUUCGCCGCCUGUCGGUGUAACUGGCAUGCCGUGGCAUGUCCUGCCGGUGGCGUACGGGAGCCUUGCCAGGUGUCGACAACGGGUCUAAUAGCCCGAUGUCGGAGGCCGGAGGUCCAACCCGUGCGCCUACUCUAUCCUACCUAGGUGCUCUUCACCGAGUGUCGAGGUAGGCCGGUACGUUUACUUUGAACAAAUUAGAGUGCUCAAAGCAGGCUGAAAUUUCUGCCUGAAUAGUGGUGCAUGGAAUAAUAAAACAGGACCUUGGUUCUAUUUUGUUGGUUCUUAGGAACACAAGGUAAUGAUCAAUACGGACAGGCGGGGGCAUUCGUAUUGCGACGUUAGAGGUGAAAUUCUUGGAUCGUCGCAAGACGCACAAGAGCGAAAGCCAGCGAUCCGCCGAUGUUCCUCCGAUGACUCGGCGGGGAGCUUCUUCCCGGGAAACCAAAGCUUUUGGGUUCCGGGGGAAGUAUGGUUGCAAAGCUGAAACUUAAAGGAAUUGACGGAAGGGCACCACCAGGAGUGGAGCCUGCGGCUUAAUUUGACUCAACACGGGAAACCUCACCAGGCCAGGACAUUGGAAGGAUUGACAGAUUGAUAGCUCUUUCUUGAUUCAGUGGGUAGUGGUGCAUGGCCGUUCUUAGUUGGUGGAACGAUUUGUCUGGUUAAUUCCGAUAACGAACGAGACUCUAGCCUAUUAACUAGGCGUUAUCCGGUGUCCCCGCCACCGGCGACAAUCAUUCUUCUUAAGGGGACAGGCGGCUUAUAGCCGCACGAGAUUGAGCAAUAACAGGUCUGUGAUGCCCUUAGAUGUCCUGGGCCGCACGCGCGCUACACUGAAGGAUUCAGCGUGUGCGCCCCUGGCCGUGAGGCCUGGGUAACCCAGUCAACCUCCUGCGUGCUAGGAAUUGGGGCUUGCAAUUCUUCCCCAUGAACGAGGAAUUCCCAGUAAGCGCGAGUCAUUAGCUCGCGUUGAUUACGUCCCUGCCCUUUGUACACACCGCCCGUCGCUACUACCGAUUGAAUGAUUUAGUGAGGUCUUCGGACUGGCGGUAAUUAUUAUCGACUUGUCGGUAUUAAUGAACGCUGGAAAGAUGACCAAACUUGAUCAUUUAGAGGAAGUAAAAGUCGUAACAAGGUUUCCGU
rnacentral:rRNA from 1 species